rnacentral:lncRNA from 1 species
AACGGCUGCUUUGUAGCCGAGACGGUGUUUCUAACGCUUGCAGAAAGUAUGGUGUGGGAUGACAGAUGAUGCCGGCUAGACAAGCUCUGUGUUCUCUGAAUCAUUUUUAGAGCGCAAAGGAGAUCUUGGCAAGCACCAUAAACAUGUGCCUAGUGGGAAAACCUCAGAACUACACAGGUCUUUAUCUUUGAAGACAGCCAUCUUUCCUGCCCUGUGAACAAUAAGACAACUUAACAUCAUAACUGAAAAUUGCUACCGAAAUGAUGGUAAAUGGUGGUUAGAGGCUUUCAGCCUUAAAAACAAAGGAAAGGACUCCAUAUAGCGAAUCCCAGAAUUCAUUUACACUUUGACAAUUUUAGAAAACUGCAAAGCUUAUCACUUUUCUCCGCAUUGGAAACUGCAGCGGCAAAGACUGUCUUUUAUACACAUCCAUACAUAGAAAUAAACCAUGCAGAGAAAUGACAGGAAAAGGAGUCUCCAAGUGGUUUGCAAGGUGACAGUGCACAGUCCUUUCAAAACAUUCAGUUUGAAGUUAACAUCCCCAGCCGUAUUUCUUGGGCACACAUCUACAUAAAAGGAUAACAGUUCACGACUUGCACUUGGUGAAGAAGAGAACAGAAUGCACAGGGAAGCAUCUCACAGGCGGAUAAAGCAAGGUCAGAGCUAAGAUUUGGCCUAGGUGAGUGGCUGGCAACACGGUCCAAGAACGGAGUCCUGGGAGGGGAACCCUGAGUGCUUGUGAGAAAACUCCAAGAAAACAGAAAGGUUUGUGACCUCAGUUUCUUCAAAACCACGGAAUUGCUCUUGGAAUGUGUUUUUCUGUCCGGCCAGGUACAGUGGAUAGGAGAGGGUUUACUUCAGAGUAUUCACUACCCUGGCUAUUGUUUAUCUGCCUCUAAGGAUUAGCAUGCUUUGGCAAUGUGCAGCUUGUCUUUGUGAUUCUACACUUUACUCAGGCGAUUUCUCUUAGCCCUCAGAAGAAUAAACUGUCUAAUGCUC